UACAUGGGGUGCAAACGUUGCUCGGAAUUAUUGGGCGUAAAGCGCGCGUAGGCGGUUACUUAAGUCGGAUGUGAAAGCCCUCGGCUUAACUGAGGAAGUGCACCCGAAACUGAGUAGCUAGAGUACGAAAGAGGGUCGCGGAAUUCCCGGUGUAGAGGUGAAAUUCGUAGAUAUCGGGAGGAACACCGGUGGCGAAGGCGGCAUCCUGGACCGGUAUUGACGCUGAGGCGCGAAAGCUAGGGGAGCAAACGGG
rnacentral:rRNA from 1 species